rnacentral:lncRNA from 1 species
CUGAUAGCCAAUUGUUUGGACUUACUUAAGUCGGCUAGAAAAGAGAGGGAAUGAUGGGCUCAUGAUGACCAACUGGGUGACUGAUGGAGCCCAGCUCUGCUACAAAGAAAUCUUCUCCUUGCAGAUAUUUGGAGUGAUGGCAACACCCACUUCUGACGGAUCCGUCGAGAAAAUGUUGGGAAAUGUGCAUCUGUGUUUAUUUUUGUAACAUGAUAGCUUUCUAUAAAGGCCCUUUCUAGACAGCCUGCAAGACUUUCACCAUGGAAACCAUUAGGCUUGGCAAUUUAUUUUUGUAGCUGUUAAAAGAUCUGCAUCACCCGGGCUCUGAAUUUUUAUACUGAUUCAGCUAGAAAUUGAGCAGCAAGAGGAAUAAAAAUUCCCUCCCUUCGUGCAUUCAACUAAAACUAUCCAUGCCAUGACAUUUUGUUCAACCUUAGUAUUAUUUCCCCAUACAUGUCACCUCUCCCCUUAUGGAUGACACAGUCAAGUUGUUACCUUUUGCAUUUAUUUAUAAGCAAAGAAAAGAAAAUGGAGAGGCUUUCAUCUUCUUGGCAACCACAUCCUCUGACCUGGUUUCUCCUAUAUGUGAGGAUACAUAGAAUGGUCAAGGACCAUAUAUUCUGCUGAAGUGCUAAAUAUGCAGGAUGUGGAAACAGCCACAGAAGUCACGCCAUGUUGAGAAUCUCAGCAUUUUUAAAAGGAGCAAGUUUCCAGUCCCUAUGGCCAUGAAGAUACACUUUAAAAUGUGCAGGAAAUACUUCCUGGAAUCUCAGAAGGUUGAAGGGGAGGCUGAAACAGAGUUUCAGGUCAGGCACAGAAUGUCAACACUCUGCAGGGCUCCUCAUCCCCUCCAUACAGCUGGCAAAAUCAGAGAUUGUGCAUAGGAUGCAAACUGCAGAAAUGUUCAGAAUUCAUUAUACAAAAUAAGACAGAUUACCGAAUUUUCAUAAUUUAUACCAGACGCAGAAUUCGGCUUUCCUUGCUGCACGGUUCAGAUUGCCAAUGUAACAAAUUUAUCAUCAAUUUUGCACAUGGCCCAAACCAUGGUGUCUUUAUUUAUAUGCUUUUCUUUUGUUUGCCUUGCGUACUCAAAGAGUCUACUCAACAGACAGAGAUACUGCUUUGUGCAGAUGCAUUCUUUCAUAUACCCUGGAGUGUUGGGGAAAGGACUCGGGAUUAUAGUUAGGCUUUACUCACUGGCUGUUCUCCUAACAAGAAACAAAAUCAUCAGCAUUCAAAGAAGAUGGUGAGAGAAUGCUCCUAAAUCCUCCCAAACCAAAAGAUAUUUUUUUUCUCCACCCGGUCAUUCGUUGGGUUUGUUAUGCUCCCAAUAAGCAGCUUUUGUGGUCAUUACGGGUCCCUACUGUGCUCUGAAAUUUACUCAUCCAGAUAAGCUGUUUACUGCAUCCUGAAUGCCAUAACCUUCUCCCAUGACCUUAAUCAUUCUAAUGAACAGUCUAUGUUGGAAAGGGAGUCAUUUUCACAGUCUUUUAGGCUUGGCUGCAACCAAACAUACCUGCAAAAAGCCUUUCAAAGGGGUCCCACCCUCUUAAUUUAUCUGCACCCUUUACAGUUUGGUUCCUAAUGGGAACUCCAUGCUCAGUUCACGCCUUUGAGUCCAGCUCCAAAACGUUGCCAUCUGGAUUCUUAGAGCUCAGGGGAAGGGGACCUGAGGUCACAAACCUGAAACAUGCUCUUAACCUUUCAUGUUAAGAUGGGAUAUUGCUCUUAAAAAAGAAAGAAAGAAUGAGUGCAAGCACUUUGGAGGUGCUAAGGCGUCAUUUGUUGUUGUUCCUCUGCCUGCCUGCCUCCCCUGCUCUUCUGAAGCAACAGAGAUGCCAGGCUAGCAGAUCUGCAGCAGUGAAUUAAAUGUACUGACACGGUAAUAAUACACAGUGCAGAUGAACCUGCAAGAGCCAGCCUCCGCUUCUGCAGUGCUGCGAUGAAUGGGCUCCUUGUGACUUUCACAGAGCAGCCACUGCAGCACAAGAAAACAGAGAGGUGUGUUGCUUGCCAAAAGCUGAUUAACAAGCAAAUAGAAUAUAGAUGGACAUGGGAAUGCAAAAAGAGGGGGGGUAACACUGGGUGAAGGAUGCUCCCCCAAACCUUUAGUUUAACUGCUGAGCAGGACAGAGAGAAUGCACAGCACCCUAUGGCAUCUUAAAGACUAAUAUAAUUGUUGCGGAGAGAAGAGCUUUCGUAGACAUGAUGAUAAUCGUGUACACUGAUUUUCCCCACCCCUCCCGGGCCUUCAGCAUCUCCUGGCAAUGAGAAAUGUGCCGGCCUUUUAAGAUGCCGUGGAUUCUUCACUGCCUAUGUUAAGACACACCAAGAUUAGGGCUCUCUUUUGGAAUAAGCCACAGAAAAGUGAUCGUGCAGUCAGCAAAGAGAGGGUUAAGAUUCCUUUCUCUUCUUGCUGUAACCCGCUCUCCUCCGAACAGGACCUGACAGCGAGUUGGUGUGAGUUUGCAUUUCCCCUUCAAGCUGAAAUUUAAUCCCACGAAACAUUAAUAUCUCUGGAACCAGCAAUGGCGGUGGGGAGAUUUGCAAAGAAAUGUUUGCUGACUCAUGAAAGCUGGUAGAUCUUGUUCUCUCCGAGAAAUAAAAAGAGCUGGCUUCCCAAUGCCUGCCUGUUAUACGGUGGGAUGGGACCAAUGAACACACCAGGUUCUGAGGCGUUCUCCAAACAGUCAAAUUGGAGUUGCAAAUGAAAUGCUCUGGCCAGAUUUAUGCUGAAAAUUUAUAUGGUGAUCAUUUCCCCUUCCCGGGGAAAUGUAAAGAGUUGAGCUCUGUGAGGUGGAAGAAGCCAGGGGGCUCGUAACACAGAAAUCCACAACACCUCACCAAACUCCAAUUCUGAAUAUUAUUCAGAGAGAAAAACAGGAAAGGUAUAAAAGCUACAUGUUUGUGCAGUUGUGCUGUUUGUUGCUAUUAUUGAAGUUACUGGGUAGGUACGUCUAAGCCACAGAGCUGGAAGGUAGGAUCGAACCAUAGGCCUCCACACAUAAGUAGACAUAGCCAAGGUUGUUUCGGGAAUGGCUGAUCUAGGGCAGGCCGGCAGGGUUUCUGACUCCCUGAGUCAAAUGCAGACAAGCAGCCAAAUACUUGGGUGUUCCUGGUGACUGACAAUCCACACUAUUUUGGCACUGCCCAGCAGGCAGCAAACAUUGGGGCUUGACUGUGCAAGGCUGACACAAGGAAAUAAGGUAAAAGAUGCCUGCUUCUUGGGAGAAAAGCAAUGACAAACCUAGACAGCAUCUUAAAAAGCAGAGACAUCACCUUGCCAACAAAGGUCCGUAUAGUAAAAGCUAUGGUUUUCCCAGUAGUGAUGUAUGGAAGUGAGAGCUGGACCAUAAAGAAGGCUGAUCGCCAAAGAAUUGAUGCUUUUGAAUUAUGGUGCUGGAGGAGACUCUUGAGAGUCCCAUGGACUGCAAGAAGAUCAAACCUCUCCAUUCUGAAGGAAAUCAGCCCUGAGUGCUCACUGGAAGGACAGAUCGUGAAGCUGAGACUCCAAUACUUUGGCCACCUCAUGAGAAGAGAAGACUCCCUGGAAAAGACCCUGAUGUUGGGAAAGACUGAGGGCAGAAGGAGAAGGGGACGACAGAGGACGAGAUGGUUGGACAGUGUUCUCGAAGCUAUGAACAUGAGUUUGACCAAGCUGCGGGAGGCAGUGGAAGACAGGAGUGCCUGGCGUGCUCUGGUCCAUGGGGUCACGAAGAGUCGGACACGACUAAACGACUAAACAACAACAUACAACACUAUGCAAAGCUUGGCUAGUCACAACCCAUACAGACCUGCUUAUCAUCCAUAAAUAGCCCUUGUUUAUAUGGAUACCAAAUGCAAGGGUUGUUUUGGAUGUAAACUCUUGUGCUGACCCGUAACCCUUAUGCUGUACUGUUCUUGUAGCACAUUGUAAAAUCCACCAUCUAGUCCAACCACCUGCCAUGCAGGAAUAUGCAGCUGUCCCAGACUCGAACCUGCAACCUUGGCAUUAUCAGCACCAUGCUCUAGCCGUCUGAGCUAUCCAGCUGAUCAAUAUGCCAAGGUCACUCACCUGAGAUAAAAGUGGCAAAUCUAGUGCCUUGACUAAGCAAGGGCUCUCCCUUUUCUCUCUCGCUUGCAGUGCUUCACUGCUGAACAUGUUAAUCACUGCCGAGACUGAAAUAACCUAAGGGAAUAUCAUCCCAGAAUUAUGUAUUCCAUUAACAAGCCUUCUACUUUAAGUCUGUAUGCAAUAUUCAGAAGUAACAGAGUGGGAACUUCUCUCCUGAUUUGAUUCUCCAUCUUUCAGACUCAGCAGGUUGAGAAUUUGGAGGAUGCCCAUUUUAAAAAGGAAAGAUUCUGGAUGAGAUUCACUGAAAAAUUGACAUCUCUGAGGGAGCCAUGCCUGUGCCACUCAAUACCAGCUAAAAAUGUCAAUGUCCCUAUUCAAUCUGCAGCUGUGUGUAUUUACUGAUGUAAUUGAAAGUCCAGCC